rnacentral:rRNA from 1 species
UUUAAAGUCUAGUCUGCCCAAUGAUAAUUGAAUGGCCGCAGUAUUUUAACUGUGCAAAGGUAGCAUAAUCAUUAGUUUCUUAAUUGGAAACUGGUAUGAAUGGCUAGAUGAGGGAGGUACUGUUUCUUUACUAAUAAAUUAAAAUUUUAUUUUUAAGUGAAAAAGCUUAAGUUUUAUAGAAAGACGAGAAGACCCUAUAGAGUUUAAUAAAAAUAUUAGUUUUAAUUUAUUAGUAAUUUUCUAUUUAAUUAUUGUUUUUAUUUUGUUGGGGUGACAUAAAAACUAAAUUAACUUUUUAUUUAUUUAAACAUUAAUAUAUGAUUUAAAGAUCCUAAUUUUUAGAUUAAGAGAAAAAAAUUACCUUAGGGAUAACAGCGUAAUCUUUUUU